UAUACAUUUAUGGAGGUGGCAACUUUCAGGCCCAACAGAAACUGGCAGCCAACCAGAAAAUGUUCUGAGGUCACAUGGCUUUGAUGACAUCAGCACUGGCAGCCAAUUGCAGGGCAGGAUGAAAGCAUGUGCAUUAUGAGGUUGCCAGACAUGACAACCUCCUGCCAUGAAAUGGUGGACAGAGCAAAGUGUAGCAAGGCCCCGCGCUUGUGGCAGGAAAGGGCCUCCUGCUCCGCUCUGCUUUGAGGAGCCAGCACUGACAAAAUGGUGACUCCACGGGGCAAUAAGCGGUGGGAAAUGGUUGGUGUGAGCCCAGGGUGAGGGACUUUGGGGCAAGCGGAGUCGGUGCAGAUGGGACCAGGGUGCUUCCACACCUGGCGCAGGUUGAGCCCUGGCCUUGUGCUGCUCCCCACCUUGCCGGUGGCCUUGUCCUUUCAUCGGUUUUCAGAAUGGUGCAUGGUGCUAGCCGUACAGCUUGUCCUGUUCUGCUCUGGUUUGGGUAAAGCAUCAAGAGCUGCAAGAGCUCCAGAUGGUCCCUGGAUACUCUGUACCAAGUUGGGGAGUCAGCAAUAACAAAACGGUGGCUACGAGAGGCAACAAAGCAGGUUUAAGAUUAGCCGUACAUUAUUUGGAGCAUUACAUUAGCAGAGCCAGAAAGCUGACCCAGAAAAUGGGAGGAGGAGGCAACUAAUAACAAAUGCAUAAUCCUUCAACUCAAAGAUGGCUGCAGAUCCAAACCUAGUGAAACAGGCAAGGAACAACUGUAUCAUCUAUAGUAUGCCUUUUACACUAGACAACAUGAAGUUAAUUUUACUGAGAUUCUUCCAGCUAGUAGAAGAAGAACAAAAGCACAAUAAAAUAUAAAAUAGCUUAAAAGAUGGUUUGAUUGAACCAUUGAGUUUCAAACAUGUUCACUCACUACUAGUAAUUCAUGGAGACCGCAGUCUUCUCAAAGCUUAGACUCCACCUGAGUUAGCAAUUCACUCUAACAUGAUGUAGUGAGAGUUUCAAAAUAACAAAGAAUAAUGCUGGGAAAGAUUUAAGUAAUCUCCACACCUGAUUUUUAAUUCAAUAAGAAGAAAAAUAGUUAAUAAAUAAAUAAA